rnacentral:rRNA from 2 species
UGAGGAAUAUUGCCCAAUGGGGGAAACCCUGAGGCAGCAACGCCGCGUGAACGAAGACGGCCUUCGGGUUGUAAAGUUCUUUUCUGGGGGACGAUAAUGACGGUACCCCAGGAAUAAGUUCCGGCUAACUACGUGCCAGCAGCCGCGGUAAAACGUAGGGGACAAGCGUUAUCCGGAUUUACUGGGCGUAAAGCGCACGUAGGCGGUAGGGUAAGUUGGCCGUGAAAGCUCCCGGCUUAACUGGGAGAGGUCGGACAAAACUGCCGGACUUGAGGCUGAGAGAGGAGAGCGGAAUUCCCGGUGUAGUGGUGGAAUGCGUAGAUAUCGGGAGGAACACCAGUGGCGAAGGCGGCUCUCUGGCUCAGAACUGACGCUGAGGUGCGAAAGCGUGGGGAGCGAACGGG